GAUGAACGCUGGCGGCGUGCCUAAUACAUGCAAGUCGAGCGAACGGACGAGAAGCUUGCUUCUCUGAUGUUAGCGGCGGACGGGUGAGUAACACGUGGAUAACCUACCUAUAAGACUGGGAUAACUUCGGGAAACCGGAGCUAAUACCGGAUAAUAUUUUGAACCGCAUGGUUCAAAAGUGAAAGACGGUCUUGCUGUCACUUAUAGAUGGAUCCGCGCUGCAUUAGCUAGUUGGUAAGGUAACGGCUUACCAAGGCAACGAUGCAUAGCCGACCUGAGAGGGUGAUCGGCCACACUGGAACUGAGACACGGUCCAGACUCCUACGGGAGGCAGCAGUAGGGAAUCUUCCGCAAUGGGCGAAAGCCUGACGGAGCAACGCCGCGUGAGUGAUGAAGGUCUUCGGAUUGUAAAACUCUGUUAUUAGGGAAGAACAUAUGUGUAAGUAACUGUGCACAUCUUGACGGUACCUAAUCAGAAAGCCACGGCUAACUACGUA
rnacentral:rRNA from 1 species